AACGAACGCUGGCGGCAGGCCUAACACAUGCAAGUCGAGCGAAGCCUUCGGGCUUAGCGGCGGACGGGUGAGUAACGCGUGGGAACGUGCCCUUUGCUACGGAAUAGCCCCGGGAAACUGGGAGUAAUACCGUAUGUGCCCUUCGGGGGAAAGAUUUAUCGGCAAAGGAUCGGCCCGCGUUGGAUUAGGUAGUUGGUGGGGUAAUGGCCUACCAAGCCGACGAUCCAUAGCUGGUUUGAGAGGAUGAGCAGCCACACUGGGACUGAGACACGGCCCAUACUCCUACGGGAGGCAGCAGUGGGGAAUCUUAGACAAUGGGGGAGACCCUGAUCUAGCCAUGCCGCGUGAUCGAUGAAGGCCUUAGGGUUGUAAAGAUCUUUCAGUGGGGAAGAUAAUGACUGUACCCACAGAAGAAGCCCCGGCUAACUCCGUGCCAGCCGCCGCAGUAAGAC
rnacentral:rRNA from 1 species